rnacentral:rRNA from 1 species
GACGAACGCUGGCGGCGUGCCUAAUACAUGCAAGUAGAACGCUGAAGAGAGGAGCUUGCUCUUCUUGGAUGAGUUGCGAACGGGUGAGUAACGCGUAGGUAACCUGCCUUGUAGCGGGGGAUAACUAUUGGAAACGAUAGCUAAUACCGCAUAACAAUGGAUGACACAUGUCAUUUAUUUGAAAGGGGCAAUUGCUCCACUAUAAGAUGGACCUGCGUUGUAUUAGCUAGUAGGUGAGGUAAUGGCUCACCUAGGCGACGAUACAUAGCCGACCUGAGAGGGUGAUCGGCCACACUGGGACUGAGACACGGCCCAGACUCCUACGGGAGGCAGCAGUAGGGAAUCUUCGGCAAUGGGGGCAACCCUGACCGAGCAACGCCGCGUGAGUGAAGAAGGUUUUCGGAUCGUAAAGCUCUGUUGUAAGUCAAGAACGGGUGUGAGAGUGGAAAGUUCACACUGUGACGGUAGCUUACCAGAAAGGGACGGCUAACUACGUGCCAGCAGCCGCGGUAAUACGUAGGUCCCGAGCGUUGUCCGGAUUUAUUGGGCGUAAAGCGAGCGCAGGCGGUUUGAUAAGUCUGAAGUUAAAGGCUGUGGCUCAACCAUAGUUCGCUUUGGAAACUGUCAAACUUGAGUGCAGAAGGGGAGAGUGGAAUUCCAUGUGUAGCGGUGAAAUGCGUAGAUAUAUGGAGGAACACCGGUGGCGAAAGCGGCUCUCUGGUCUGUAACUGACGCUGAGGCUCGAAAGCGUGGGGAGCGAACAGGAUUAGAUACCCUGGUAGUCCACGCCGUAAACGAUGAGUGCUAGGUGUUGGAUCCUUUCCGGGAUUCAGUGCCGCAGCUAACGCAUUAAGCACUCCGCCUGGGGAGUACGACCGCAAGGUUGAAACUCAAAGGAAUUGACGGGGGCCCGCACAAGCGGUGGAGCAUGUGGUUUAAUUCGAAGCAACGCGAAGAACCUUACCAGGUCUUGACAUCCCGAUGCUAUUUCUAGAGAUAGAAAGUUACUUCGGUACAUCGGUGACAGGUGGUGCAUGGUUGUCGUCAGCUCGUGUCGUGAGAUGUUGGGUUAAGUCCCGCAACGAGCGCAACCCCUAUUGUUAGUUGCCAUCAUUCAGUUGGGCACUCUAGCGAGACUGCCGGUAAUAAACCGGAGGAAGGUGGGGAUGACGUCAAAUCAUCAUGCCCCUUAUGACCUGGGCUACACACGUGCUACAAUGGUUGGUACAACGAGUUGCGAGUCGGUGACGGCGAGCUAAUCUCUUAAAGCCAAUCUCAGUUCGGAUUGUAGGCUGCAACUCGCCUACAUGAAGUCGGAAUCGCUAGUAAUCGCGGAUCAGCACGCCGCGGUGAAUAAAUUCCCGGGCCU